rnacentral:lncRNA from 1 species
AAGAAUCGAAGAGUAAGACGAAAAAAAUUUGAAGAAUCAGAAGAACAAUCCAAUAAGAAGAAGAAGAAAAAAUUGACUGAAAAACGAUGGACAAUGAACAAUGAACGAAAAAUGACGAACAAUGAACGCAGAAACCCAACUGGGUUUUUGCGUUUUCUAAUUACUCGACGAAAAGUUAGCUUUAACCAAAGAAUAAAAUCCUCUGCUAGCUUAACAGCGGAAAAAAACCGUUUUUAGCUUAUUUAUCAUUAUUUAACGUAACGAUCAAUUUUUUCCGUCGAUAAAAUUCCUAACAACGGACUAUCCGCUAUUAAAAUAGAUAAAAAUCCGCAUUUAAAUAUGCAGUUUUUUGUAUUGCAAAGUGAAACUAGCAAUAGAAAAUACAUAAAAGAUGAAAAAUUACAAUGAGUUAAUGAUUAAU